UACGUAGGGGGCAAGCGUUAUCCGGAUUUACUGGGUGUAAAGGGAGCGUAGACGGCGGCGCAAGUCUGAUGUGAAAGCCUGGGGCUCAACCCCGGAACUGCAUUGGAAACUGUGCUGCUGGAGUGCCGGAGAGGUAAGCGGAAUUCCUAGUGUAGCGGUGAAAUGCGUAGAUAUUAGGAGGAACACCAGUGGCGAAGGCGGCUUACUGGACGGUAACUGACGUUGAGGCUCGAAAGCGUGGGGAGUAAACAGG
rnacentral:rRNA from 1 species